rnacentral:piRNA from 1 species
CAGCAGGGAAAAGCUGGAUGUGGUCC